rnacentral:lncRNA from 1 species
CUAUCCCGGUUGUCCAGAGCCUGACAAGGUGCUCGGCUUCAUGCCCCACUCCGACUUUGGAGGACUUACGUUGCUGCUUCAAGAUGGUGUUCCCGGCCUCCAAGUUCUCAAGAACAACACCUGGGUGGUCGUCGAGCCCAUCCCGGGAGCAAUCACCAUCAACAUCAGUGAUCUCCUUGAGGUAAACGUUCUUCCUGUUUUGCACUUGUGUUUAUGAUGAAUUCCCAGUUGAUGAGCAACGGGAGGUACCGGAGUGUCAUCCAUCGCGUGCAAGUGAACGCGUCGCGUCCCAGGAUGUCCAUUGCUUGCAACUACAGCUGCUCGUUUGAUUCCGGUGUUGCCCCUGCUCCGGAACUCAUCGACGAGGAGCACCCCCAGCUCUACAAGCCUGUCAACUUCGGAGACUACGUUCAGGCGGUGGUGAAGAAGGGUCCAACUGGAAAGUCUUACAUGCUUAUCAACCACGACUCCAAACCGGAGUACAUGCUCUUCCAAAAGCAUUGAGAGAAGCAAGGUUUUCUACUGUGAUCCUGGAAGUAUCAAUCAGAACAAAGAAAUAAUUAUUGAGCUUCACGUUCACAAGAGGGCAGCUACAUUAUGAAAAACGCAAUAGAUCUUUUUGUCAAACUUUGGAACGUCAAUGAUACCCAAAUGUUAAGGACAGAAAAAAGUCAAGCCUCGAGUUGACUGGUAGCUAGUCAACACCCACCUGCUCCAAUUGUUUCGCUAUUAAAAAGGUACGAGCAUCUGAAAGGACGAAAGGAGAGAUCUUUGCAAUGGUUACGGAGUUUGUUCCAGUCCAAGAGCUCAGCAAAUCAUUGAAAGCGGUCCCCAAGAACUACAUAGCUCCCGAGGACAAGGUCCCGGUGGUGACCCGCGAGCCUGGGAAGUCCGUACCCGUGGUUGAUCUCUGUGACUUCAAUCUCAGCCCCGAGCAGCAUGAGAGAGUGGUGCGCGAGAUCGCAAGUGCCAGCAGCGAGUGGGGAUUCUUCCAGGUGAUCAACCACGGCAUUGAUGUCACCAAGCCGCAGAAGGUGUCGAGGGAGUUCUUCGAGCUGCCCAAGGAGGAGAAACUCAAGUAUGCCGCCAAGGAGUAUGGCUUCAAGAGUGAUGGCUAUGGAAGUAAGAUCUCCAAUGCUGCCGACGCUGUCCAGCUAUGGAGGGACUACUUUUUCCUGUGCACGUCUCCAAAGAGGAACUUGGAUAGCUGGCCCGCGCAGCCACUGCAAUACAAGUAAGCUAGCUUCUCUGUUCUUCCAUUUCUUCGUCUCUGAAAGGUGGUCUGUUAUGAAGUCCCUGUUCUUCCAUUUCUUCGUCUUUAAACUCCGUGAUUGCUAACUUCCAGAGAAGUGAUGUCCGGUCUCUCUGAUGACUUCCUGAUGCUCACGAGGAAAAUCCUGGGAUUCCUGUCCGAAGGCGUUGGUCUCCCUACAGACUACUUCGAGAAAUGCUUUGGAGUUCCCAACCAAUCCAUCCUGACGAACUACUAUCCCGGUUGUCCAGAGCCUGACAAGGUGCUCGGCAUCGAGCCCCAUUCCGACUUUGGAGGACUCACAUUGCUGCUUCAAGAUGGCGUUCCCGGCCUCCAAGUUCUCCAGAACAACACCUGGGUGGUCGUCGAGCCCAUCCCGGGAGCAAUCACCAUCAACAUCAGUGAUCUCCUCGAGGUAAAGUUCUUCCUGUUCUGCUCUGUCCGUCUCCAAACUUGUGUUUGUGAUGAAC